CAGUAGCCACGGUAAGACAGAGGAUGCAAGCGUUAUCCGGAAUUACUGGGCGUAAAGCGCGCGUAGGUGGUUUGUUAAGUUGGAUGUGAAAUCCCCGGGCUCAACCUGGGAACUGCAUCCAAAACUGGCAAGCUAGAGUAUGGUAGAGGGUGGUGGAAUUUCCUGUGUAGCGGUGAAAUGCGUAGAUAUAGGAAGGAACACCAGUGGCGAAGGCGACCACCUGGACUGAUACUGACACUGAGGUGCGAAAGCGUGGGGAGCAAACAGGAUUAGAUACCCGGGUAGUCCCUGUCUCUUAUAC
rnacentral:rRNA from 1 species